GCCUGGCGUGCUGAAGUCCAUGGGGUCACAGUCGGACGUGACUGAAUGACUGAACUAAAUCAAUAAACAAAGCUGACCUAAGUAGAGGGGCUCAGGAAAGUCUACUUCAUACGGUUCAUUUUCAAGGUGAGAGUGAAGCUUAAGAGUCAGCUAUUUGGACGAAGCUGGUGGAGUUACUAGAUGAAGAGUGACAGUGCAUUACAAGCCCAGAUUUUACAUGUCAUAUGAUGGAAAGAAUUCCAAAAUGGGAAAGUGGUUUUCUUCAUGUCAAAUGUAAUAAACCCAAACCAGAGAAAAGUCCCCAAGAAGAAAAGAGAGUGGACAAAGCAGAUAACUAAUGAAGAAUAAGUACUUCAACCCUCCAAAUAUAAGGAGAGACCCGGAGCAGGCACAGAACUGGGAUGCAGCCAUUGGAUAAAUCAGGCUUCUGACUCUCAUACCUGUUUUCAGGCUAGUAUCUAUGCUUGGA
rnacentral:lncRNA from 1 species